UAAGUCUGAUGGAGCACGCCGCGUGAGUGAAGAAGGGUUUCGGCUCGUAAAACUCUGUUGUUAGAGAAGAACAGCCGUGAGAGCAACUGCUCACGGUAUGACGGUAUCUAACCAGAAAGUCACGGCUAACUACGUGCCAGCAGCCGCGGUAAUACGUAGGUGGCAAACGUUGUCCGGAUUUAUUGGGCGUAAAGGGAGCGCAGGCGGUUUAUUAAGUCUGAUGUGAAAGCCUUCGGCUUAACCGGAGAAGUGCAUCGGAAACUGAUAAACUUGAGUGCAGAAAAGGAUAGUGGAACUUCAUGUGUAGCGGUGAAAUGCGUAGAUAUAUGAAGGAACACCAGUGGCGAAGGCGGCUAUCUGGUCUGUAACUGACGCUGAGGCUCGAAAGCAUGGGUAGCAAACAGGAUUAGAUACCCUGGUAGUCCAUGCCGUAAACGAUGAAUGCUAGGUGUUGGAAGGUUUCCGCCUUUCAGUGCCGCAGCUAACGCAUUAAGCAUUCCGCCUGGGGAGUACGACCGCAAGGUUGAAACUCAAAGGAAUUGACGGGGACCCGCACAAGCGGUGGAGCAUGUGGUUUAAUUCGAUGCUACGCGAAGAACCUUACCAGGACUUGACAUCUUCUGCCAAUCUAAGAGAUUAGACGUUCCCUUCGGGGACAGAAUGACAGGUGGUGCAUGGUUGUCGUCAGCUCGUGUCGUGAGAUGUUGGGUUAAGUCCCGCAACGAGCGCAACCCUUGUCUUUAGUUGCCAGCAUUAAGUUGGGCACUCUAGAGAGACUGCCGGUGAUAAACCGGAGGAAGGUGGGGAUGACGUCAAAUCAUCAUGCCCCUUAUGUCCUGGGCUACACACGUGCUACAAUGGGCGAUACAACGAGUUGCGAAACUCG
rnacentral:rRNA from 2 species